rnacentral:tRNA from 1 species
GGAAAGUUGUCAGAGUUUGGCUUAUCGUACCUCCCUGCUACGGAGGUGUGGGUUGAUUCCCACCAAGGGUUCAAAUCCCUUACUUUCCUCCA